UACGUAGGUGGCAAGCGUUGUCCGGAAUUAUUGGGCGUAAAGCGCGCGCAGGUGGUUUCUUAAGUCUGAUGUGAAAGCCCACGGCUCAACCGUGGAGGGUCAUUGGAAACUGGGAGACUUGAGUGCAGAAGAGGAGAGUGGAACUCCAUGUGUAGCGGUGGAAUGCGUAGAUAUAUGGAAGAACACCAGUGGCGAAGGCGGCUCUCUGGUCUGCAACUGACGCUGAGGCGCGAAAGCAUGGGGAGCAAACAGG
rnacentral:rRNA from 1 species